AUUGGAGGCGCUUUGAGCGCUAGAGUCAUUACUUCUGGAACAAGAGGGGUCACGGGAGUCUUUGGAUUUAUUUUUGGAGAAAUUGAAUGUGAACAAAUGGAAUAUCGCUCUAACUAAAAUGGAAAUCCACUGCUGUCAACUCUCUGCUUCAUGCGACCUCAUUUCAUCCCAAACAUCAGAAAAAUUCAAUACCUAUUGGCCAAUUUUUAAGGGCGAAGCGCAUCUGUACAUCAAGAGGCGACUUUGAAAGGGAAUCGG